GGGAGCUGUGAGAGCCUGUGUUGCUACACUCCCUUCGAGAAUAGCAGCCUUCUGUCCCCGUCCUGUCCCCCCUAACACAGCUAAUGACAGCUUCCUGCAACAGUGGCAUCAAACCCUGAGCUCAGUCCUGCAGAAUAGUGAUCAUUUCUGGGAGAUGCUGUGUGAGACGGCGCCCGGCGUUUCCUGGAAAGUGAUUACUCCUAAUGAGAUCAGGUUGUCCAAAUCUCAUGCCACUAAUUAAAUCACAACUUCUCCUUUUUUUUUUCCAGCUACACAAAAGCUUUAUUCAUGAAUUAAAAUACAUAGUGAAUCUGAUUGUAACUCUGAUCCUCUGUGUGUUCAUAAUUAAACAACCAGUUCCUUCUAUGAAUUGAAACAAAAUUCCUUCUGGGGCAUGGUGUUGAGGCUGACCAUGGCUGAUCCUUCUGAAGCUGCCAGGAGCCCAGAGGGAGCCACAGCCUGCAGGAGACACCCGAAACGAGGGACACAAACAGGUAAAACUGCAGGUGAGAUGAGACAUGGAGAUGCUUUGCUUGGGAUCCUGGCAAGGCUCCCCACCCAUGCUCCCUCCCCAUCCAUACCUACAGUGCACUGCAGGAAUGUGUUCUUUGAGGUAAACCACUUUUUCAACUUAACUUUUUAAAUUAUAAUUUCUUUUUGGAUAGCAGUAAUUGUCAAGAUGGACACAUUAAAUAUGGAAGCUAAGUAAUUCUGGGACCAGAGAAAGUCAGAAAUCUGACUUUAAAUGAACUGCACUUACUGAGUUGUGUGUCCACAUCAAAGGUACUUUGCAAGGAAAUAGAGCUGACACGCUGUUAUACUUCCAUCAAAGUAUCAAAUGUAAUUUUAUAGAUAAUUGCUGCUGUAACACAUUCUGUGAAGAGACUAGAUCAGGAAUACUGAGACAUAGCUCAAAAUGCUAAUGUGUCUUUUCUCCCAGGUUGUCAAUAGUUUCAGAACAGAAGCAGUUCCAAGUUAAAGCAGAGCAAAUAUUUGCAGUGCAAUAUUUUAUUCACCAGAAAAUUCCUCCAGUUUCUUAUAGAUAAUUUUGGCUGAUGAAGCAUUUCUUUAACUGCAAAGUUUGAGUGCUUUUAGAAGCACCAUGGAGUGUGAGCCCAGGAGGAAAGACUGGGGUUAUUUUUAGAAUGCUAACUUCUAGAUAAAUCCAGAACACUCCUUUUUGCAAUACAUUUUUUGUAAGUCUUUGUAGAUUAUUUGUUAGUUGGUUCUGGAGACUGUAUAUGGAAUGAUUUGUCCAUGAUAAAGAUGUCCUCUAAGCUAAAAUCUCAGAUCCUGGAGCUUUACACACAGCUCUCCCCUUUUUCCUUUUAUUGGUCAUAACCCUGGAGGACAAUUCCCCAGAGUCUGGAGGGAAUUUGGGUCUGAAUUUGAAAUUAAAGUAAGGUUCAUCUACUGAAUACAUACUCUUAUUUACCAAAGGAAGCCAAGCUCAAACCACAUUGUGUUGAACUUUGGCCAUAUAAUUUAUAAGAUACGACUUCAAAUGCAAGAAGGCAUGCCAGCUUAAGAAAAUAUCACUCUUUCCUCAUUUCAAACAGAUUUGCUUUGCUUUUCUAGGGUUUACCCUCUUCACUGCUCAAAGAGUAAGUAUUCAGUUGAUAAAUGGGAGACCUCUUCCAGAUAGAGUCCAUCUUGGCUACACUCACACUAUUAAAAAAUGUAAAUACAAUUUGUAAGGGAAUCCAAAAUUUUCUAGGAACGCUUAAACCAUACAGGAGUGUCAAAUUCUUCAGGGUCUGUCCAGAUGGCUUAGUUGGGAUAUGAGUGCUCACCUCACCAAAAGAAACCCAAACUAGAACUUAGGAGGGUUUAUUAGCAAAUCCCACACACACUGAGCUAUCCUUAUAAAUACCUAAGGAAUUAAUUUAUAGGUUAGCCCAGAGUACAACAAGAGGAAUGCACUGGUUUUUCCACAGAUGGUUAUGUGAAAAAAUAUUUCUCCACCAGUUGUUAUUACUUUGAGAUAACAUAAAUUACUCCUGGCUUUUAAAAAUGGGUUCAGUGGCAGUCACAGUCAAUCAAGCAGGGCUUUGCUGUGGAUUUUAGCAGCACUUCAGGGCAACAAGCAUAAAUGCUUCACUAAUAUUUAAGAUGGGAUUCACUGAUGUGGCCAUGCUAUUUCAUACACAUAACUUGGAAACAUCUUUUAAAAAAUAGACACUCAAUAAGCUUUCUAGCUGCAGAGGAUCCUACAUAACCCCUUAAAGAACAUGAACAUGAAAACUCCACCAGAACAAGCUCCUUUCUAUUCAUUCCUGAUAUUAGCUCCCACUGAAGCUGGUCAAACAUUUAAAUACUCCAUGUGCAGCCUUUUUUUUUUCUUUUUAAUUCAAACAGUUCAAUACAAAAGAUAGCACUUGGUUCUGUGACUCCCUGUAAGCUUCCUGAAGCUUGUAUUCAUGUCUGGUUGCUGAACUGAGCUGCUGUCCUUAUUGUUGCCAGUCAGAGGGGCUGAAACUAUGCAGGUCUUUGAUAAGUCCUGUGGAGAGUUCCAUGUGCAGCCUUUUUUUUUUUUUUAUUAAUUCAAACAGUUCAAUACAAAAGAUAGCACUUGGUUCUGUGACUCCCUGUAAGCUUCCUGAAUCUUGUAUUCAUGUCUGGUUGCUGAACUGAGCUGCUGUCCUUAUUGUUGCCAGUCAGAGGGGCUGAAACUAUGCAGGUCUUUGAUAAGUCCUGUGGAGAGUUAUGGAUGACAGAGAAUUUGUAGUUCACAGCUUGCUGCACAAAUGUGAUAUAUUAUUAUUAGGUCUGUAAAAAGAGUAAAUUCACAUUUUUACAUUAUUAAAUGUGAUUGUUAUAUUUAUAUUAAAAUAGAUAAUAUUACAAAAAGUGCAAGGGGGAAAGAACCUCUUUACCACAUUGGAGGUAUUGUAGCAGGUUGAUGUUUUGGGAAAAGGAGGAGGAAUUACAUCUUUCCUGAGAGUAGGAGCCCACCUGUAUGGAGAGCCUGCGACAGACAGCUCUGCACCAAUGAAUAGGAAGGUCUUAGCAGAGUCACAAACUAGACACUUGCCAAAAUUAUUGAGAUUUUAAUCCCAGAAUUACUGAGCCAUUUCUCAGUUUUCACGGCUGAGACUCGUUCUGGGGGUCUGUGUCCCUGGCUUCCAGGUAAAGCAAUGUGGAUGAAUGGAUGACCAGAACUGCACCCUGAAUGUAUUCUGCUCAUGGAAACUGUCCUGGAAUAUUGGACUGGACCAGCUUCGUGAUGGUCAUGGUAAGAUUUCACAGUUUUACUCCAAAGCAGCUGAAGCCCCUUCAGUCAAGUUCUGAUAGACAUCAUCAGCCCUUUGAGGUGAGCCAUGGGUGUUUGCCCAUUGUUCAGUGAACAUUUCAAAGUCAGCAUUUUGCUAGAGCUGUCCCAUAAACAGAGAUUCUUCUAGAAAAUCAGUGAUACUAUGCUCACCCCCUGUGCUAAAGUCUCCUGCAGCUGCCAGAGUGUGCAGUCUGAGGGUGCUUCCUCAAGGGAAACCUGUGCAGACUCCUGCAUUUUCUGACUUUCACGCUUCUGCGAGGCAAUGCUGUGACUACAUUAAUGUCAUUUUUGCCAUUUAAUACUGUAGCUAACCCACAUAAUUGUUAAGGGACUGCACAGUGCAAUUUAGCAUAAUUAAGACAAUUACACUGUUAAGCACACGAGCAGUCAGUAGCCAAAGUUUUUGCCCUAGUGUAAGGGAACCUAGAGGCUCCAUGUAUUGUUUCUGUGCACCCUUGGGGUGUUGGUUGCUGCUGAGCACGAGGAUGACCAUGGUGCACUGUCAGACCUUUUUACCAGGGGGAUGCUGUUGAAGAAGAGGGAGAUCUGAGCCUAUUCCCAUAACCCCAUAUGUUACCACGUGGCAACUUGACCUCCAAGCAUAUUAUUUGAGCCACACUUGAGAUCUCACCAAGGGAAGAUACCUAACACAUUUCCUCUGCAUUUUACAUCCAGCUGAAAUGUAUUUAGCUAACUUUUGAGGUACCUUGCAUGUUAAACCUUGAACCACAAUUGUAACCUCUCCAGCUUCCCUUAUUCACACAGUAUUUGAUUUGGAUGACAUAUUUCUAUAAUAUUUAUUUUUCAGCCCGUUUUGAGACUCUCACAUUAUUGCCACAAGAACUUCAGUCUCCUGUAUAAUAUUUCAGACAUGGAGGGGAAAAAAAAAUGAAGAAAUAAAGAAGAAAAACCAGCCGUCUGCAUCCACUUAAACUACAUUACAAUAAAGCUCAGUAAAGAUCUGAUCAGCAGUUUUUUAGCCUGCUCUGAUUUAAUAUGAAAUAAAUUAGUGGAAAACCUUAAGGCUGAAAGGAAAUUUUUUUGCCACUGUUUAAAACAGGACAUGAAUCCUUUAACAUAAUAUUUACACACAUUAUAUUAAAUACUUUCUGCAAAGGUAAAAUUUAGCACUGCCAGCUUCAAACCGGGAAGGAAAUUUGUUUACACUUAAUAAAUCUGAUUUUGAGAAGAA
ensembl:lncRNA